UGGUUUGGAUGACUUGGCUGCCCUGUACC
rnacentral:piRNA from 1 species